UGUGAGGGUGAUCUGGCUGCAACAUCUGUCACCCUAUUGAAUGCUAGCGUUGAUUCAGUUGAUCUGGCCGAAUAGGCGGGUGUCCCCUUCCUCCCUCACCGN
rnacentral:sRNA from 1 species